rnacentral:pre_miRNA from 13 species
CCGGCUCUCGCCCCGUGGCGUUAAAUUAUCUCGCUGGGGCCUCCAAAUGUUACACUUAAGCGAGUUAGAGAAAACGCCACACUUUGAGACGAAUUAAGAGUGUUUUAUUUA